AAUGAACGUUGGCGGCGUGGAUUAGGCAUGCAAGUCGAGCGUGAUAGGUUUGGUGCUUGCAUUAAACCUUGAAAGCGGCGAAAGGGACAGUAACGCGUAGAUACCUACCUCCAGGUCCGGGAUAGCGGCGGGAAACUGCCGGUAAUACCGGAUAAUGUCUUCGGACCAAAGGUGUGAUUCCGCUUGGAGACGGAUCUGCGUCCUAUUGGCUAGUUGGUGGGGUAAUGGCCCACCAAGGCGAUGAUGGGUAGCGGGCGUGAGAGCGUGGCCCGCGUCACUGGGACUGAGACAAUGCCCAGACACCUACGGGUGGCUGCAGUCGAGAAUCUUCGGCAAUGGGCGCAAGCCUGACCGAGCGACGCCGCGUGCGGGAUGAAGGCCUUCGGGUUGUAAACCGCUGUCGGAGAGGCGGAAAUCUCUAGGGGUUCUCCCCUAGAGUUGACCUAAUCUCGGAGGAAGUCCGGGCUAAGUUCGUGCCAGCCGCCGCAGUAA
rnacentral:rRNA from 1 species